GUGUAGUAUAGUGGAUUGAACGCUGGACUGUAACUCUGGAGACCAGGGUUCGAAUCCUGGCUGGAUCA